AUAGCUCAUAUUUGUAUGGAAUGGGAUCGUUUGCGUACGUUUGCCGCUAGGGGCGCUGUUCCAACUGCAUACAAAAUUGGGUUG
rnacentral:pre_miRNA from 1 species